GACAUAAUAUUCUAUGCUAGAAAGAUUUUACUCUUCAGUGAGAACGCAGAGUGGGUUAAGACAACCGAUACAGAGGGUGCCUUCGAUGUGAGCAUGUGAUCAUAUGAUGAAGCAGGCAUAUGCGAUCUCAUUGGACUAUUCCUACUUGAUACGUUAGGUUAAACUUCUCCUGAUAUAUAUUUCGCCAUUUACAAAGAUGAUGCUCUAGCUUUAACCACAAACACAAAUGGACUAGUGCAAGAUUGGUUUAGGAAGGACAUUAUCCAAAUGAUGAAAACAUUCGAUCUUAGCAUAACAAUAGAUACCAACCUGACGGUUGUCAAUUUCCUAGAUGUAUCUUUAAAUUUAAAUAAGAAUAUUUACAAACCCUAUAGAAAACCCAACGAUAGACUUAGCUAUAUUAAUAUAGGUUCCUGCAUAGUUUUUAAGAAUUUAGU